UGGUAUGGGGGUAAACAAAGCGCUUGAAAAUGAAGAAAUGUGUUUUUGAUUGUUCAAUUAAUGUUAAUAGUCAUCCGAACUUGAUUUGUUAUAUUUUGCUUCCUGAUCCAAAGAGAAGAAAAUCGUGGCUUUAUGCUUUAUAUAAAACUGAUUCAUCUUGCAAAAACAAACUUUGGUCGCAAAACAUGUCUAAGUAUGCUCAAAACAUUUGUAUCUGAAUAUUAUGUACAAAUAAGUCAUUGCAAUAAAUCUCAAGUUAUUAAAGUCAGUGAACAAAUAAGUACUGACAAUUCGUUGACUGGAGUGGAAGAUGUUAGUGUCUUGAACCAACAUGAAACAACAAGUUAACUUAGCUGAGAAUGAUGGUAGUUUAAAAAUAAUGCAGCAUUGGCUAGGAUUGUUCCUAGGUCACAAAAACAAUCUUACAAAUAGAGUUUCUGCUAUUGUCACUAGUUUUAGAGAGUACCUUCGUGAAUGAAGAUAAAAAGUCAUUUAUGUUAUUUUUUAAAAGCCAAGACAUAAUAUUGUUAAUCCUCAUACCAUUUAC